rnacentral:rRNA from 1 species
UACGUAGGGGGCAAGCGUUGUCCGGAUUUAUUGGGCGUAAAGAGCGUGUAGGCGGCUAGAUAGGUCCGUUGUGAAAACUCGAGGCUCAACCUCGAGACGUCGGUGGAAACCAUCUGGCUAGAGUCCGGAAGAGGAGAGUGGAAUUCCUGGUGUAGCGGUGAAAUGCGCAGAUAUCAGGAAGAACGCCCGUGGCGAAGGCGGCUCUCUGGUACGUGACUGACGCUGAGACGCGAAAGCGUGGGGAGCAAACAGG